rnacentral:rRNA from 1 species
UACGUAGGGUGCAAGCAUUAAUCGGAAUUAUUGGGCGUAAAGGGCGCGUAGGCUGUUGCGUAAGUCAGAUGUGAAAUUCCGGGGCUCAACCUCGGAGCUGCAUUUGAAACUACGUAACUAGAGGGUUGACGGAGAAAACGGAAUUCCACGUGUAGCGGUGAAAUGCGUAGAUAUGUGGAAGAACACCAGUGGCGAAAGCGGUUUUCUAGUUAAUUCCUGACGCUGAGGCGCGAGAGCAAGGGGAGCAAACAGG